UACGGAGGGUGCAAGCGUUAUCCGGAUUCACUGGGUUUAAAGGGUGCGUAGGUGGGCAGUUAAGUCAGUGGUGAAAUCUCCGGGCUCAACCCGGAAACUGCCAUUGAUACUAUCUGUCUUGAAUAUCGUGGAGGUAAGCGGAAUAUGUCAUGUAGCGGUGAAAUGCUUAGAUAUGACAUAGAACACCAAUUGCGAAGGCAGCUUACUACCCGAAUAAUUGACACUGAGGCACGAGAGCGUGGGGAUCAAACAGG
rnacentral:rRNA from 1 species